CGCGUAGGCGGGAGGGCAAGUCGGUCGUGAAAUCCUCCGGCUCAACUGGAGAACGUCGGCCGAUACUGCCUUUCUUGAGGGAUGCAGAGGAGACUGGAAUUCCCGGUGUAGCGGUGAAAUGUGUAGAGAUCGGGAGGAACACCGGUGGCGAAGGCGGGUCUCUGGGCAUCUCCUGACGCUGAGGCGCGAAAGCGUGGGGAGCGAACG
rnacentral:rRNA from 1 species